rnacentral:rRNA from 1 species
AUUGAACGCUGGCGGCAUGCUUUACACAUGCAAGUCGAACGGUGACAGGUUAAGCUGACGAGUGGCGAACGGGUGAGUAAUGCAUCGGAACGUGCCCGGUCGUGGGGGAUAACGCAGCGAAAGCUGCGCUAAUACCGCAUACGAUCUGAGGAUGAAAGCGGGGGACCGUAAGGCCUCGCGCGAUCGGAGCGGCCGAUGUCAGAUUAGGUAGUUGGUGGGGUAAAGGCUCACCAAGCCAACGAUCUGUAGCUGGUCUGAGAGGACGACCAGCCACACUGGGACUGAGACACGGCCCAGACUCCUACGGGAGGCAGCAGUGGGGAAUUUUGGACAAUGGGCGAAAGCCUGAUCCAGCAAUGCCGCGUGCAGGAAGAAGGCCUUCGGGUUGUAAACUGCUUUUGUACGGAGCGAAAAGGUCUCCUCCAAUACAGGGGGCUCAUGACGGUACCGUAAGAAUAAGCACCGGCUAACUACGUACCAGCAGCCGCCGUAA